rnacentral:rRNA from 1 species
CCUACGGGUGGCAGCAGUGGGGAAUAUUGGGCAAUGGAGGCAACUCUGACCCAGCAACGCCGCGUGAAUGAUGAAGGUCUUCGGAUUGUAAAGUUCUGUUAUGGGGGAUGAACACAAUGACGGUACUCCAAUAGCAAGCCACGGCUAACUACGUGCCAGCAGCCGCGGUAAUACGUAGGGGGCAAGCGUUAUCCGGAAUGACUGGGCGUAAAGGGUGCGUAGGUGGUUUAGUAAGUUGGCGGUGUAAUUCCGGGGCUCAACCUCGGCGCUACCGCGAAAACUAUUAGACUAGAGUGCAGGAGAGGUAAGUGGAAUUCCUGGUGUAGCGGUGAAAUGCGUAGAUAUUAGGAGGAACAUCAGGGGCGAAGGCGACUUACUGGACUGUAACUGACACUGAGGCACGAAGGCGUGGGUAUCGAACAGGAUUAGAUACCCGGGUAGUC